rnacentral:rRNA from 1 species
GAUGAACGCUGGCGGCGUGCCUAAUACAUGCAAGUCGAGCGAACAGACGAGGAGCUUGCUCCUCUGACGUUAGCGGCGGACGGGUGAGUAACACGUGGAUAACCUACCUAUAAGACUGGGAUAACUUCGGGAAACCGGAGCUAAUACCGGAUAAUAUAUUGAACCGCAUGGUUCAAUAGUGAAAGACGGUUUUGCUGUCACGUAUCGAUGGUUCCGCGCCGCAUUAGCUAGUUGGUAAGGUAACGGCUUACCAAGGCGACGAUGCGUUGCCGACCUGAGAGGGUGAUCGGCCACACUGGAACUGAGACACGGUCCAGACGCCUACGGGAGGCAGCAGUAGGGAAUCUUCCGCAAUGGGCGAAAGCCUGACGGAGCAACGCCGCGUGAGUGAUGAAGGUCUUCGGAUCGUAAAACUCUGUUAUUAGGGAAGAACAAAUGUGUAAGUAACUAUGCACGUCUUGACGGUAACUAAUCAGAAAGCCACGGCUAACUACGUG